rnacentral:rRNA from 1 species
AUAACGAAGCCGCAUGACUUUGUUAUCAAAGAUUUAUUGCCGGAAGAUGAGCUCGCGUCUGAUUAGGUAGUUGGUGAGGUAACGGCUCACCAAGCCGACGAUCAGUAGCCGGACUGAGAGGUUGAACGGCCACAUUGGGACUGAGACACGGCCCAGAYUCCUACGGGAGGCAGCAGUGGGGAAUAUUGCACAAUGGGCGAAAGCCUGAUGCAGCGAUGCCGCGUGAGGGAAGAAGGUUUUAGGAUUGUAAACCUCUGUCUUUGGGGACGAUAAUGACGGUACCCAAGGAGGAAGCUCCGGCUAACUACGUGCCGGCAGCCGCGGUAAUACGUAGGGAGCGAGCGUUGUCCGGAAUUACUGGGUGUAAAGGGAGCGUAGGCGGGAUGCAAGUCAGGUGUGAAAUUUAGGGGCUUAACCCCUGAACUGCACUUGAAACUGUAGUUCUUGAGUGAAGUAGAGGUAAGCGGAAUUCCUAGUGUAGCGGUGAAAUGCGUAGAUAUUAGGAGGAACAUCAGUGGCGAAGGCGGCUUACUGGGCUUUAACUGACGCUGAGGCUCGAAAGCGUGGGGAGCAAACAGGAUUAGAUACCCUGGUAGUCCACCCGUAAACGAUGAUUACUAGGUGUGGGGGGACUGACCCCUUCCGUGCCGCAGUUAACACAAUAAGUAAUCCACCUGGGGAGUACGGCCGCAAGGCUGAAACUCAAAGGAAUUGACGGGGGCCCGCACAAGCAGUGGAGUAUGUGGUUUAAUUCGAAGCAACGCGAAGAACCUUACCAGGUCUUGACAUCGUACGCAUAGCAUAGAGAUAUGUGAAAUCCCUUCGGGGACGUAUAGACAGGUGUAGACAGGUGGUGCAUGGUUGUCGUCAGCUCGUGUCGUGAGAUGUUGGGUUAAGUCCCGCACCCUUACUGUUAGUUGCUACGCAAAAGCGCUCUAGCAGGACUGCCGUUGACAAAACGGAGGAAGGUGGGGAUGACGUCAAAUCAUCAUGCCCCUUAUGAC